rnacentral:pre_miRNA from 1 species
AGGAGGAACAACCACAGUGGAGAGGCCAGCUCUGGAGCCCUGGAUUCAGCUCCCACAGUAACUAAGGAGCUCUCAGCCUGCAGGGCCUGGAGGCUCAGGGGGCGG